CUCACUGUCUGGCUACUUCCCUUCCCUGUUCACCAAGCCCCUCACGCACGCCAGCAUGCUUUCUGUCUCCAUGGAUUUACCUGUCCUGGACAUUUCUCAUAAAUGGAGCCACGUCAUAAACGACCCUUUGUGACUGGCUCCCUUCACUUAGCGCACAGUUUUCAAGGCUCAUCCGUGUCCUGGCGCAGCAGGGCGUCAUUGCUGUUUAUGACUGAAUGAUACUCAGCAGCACAUCUCUUCCACAUUUUGUAUUUACUCAUCUGUUGAUGGACACUUGAGCUGUUGCCAUCUGUGAGCUAAAGUAAGUGGUGCUGCUGUGAACGCAGUGUUUGGUGUGUGUCUGGAUGGGUGUGUGUUUGGUUGAGGGUUUAUAAUUAUUUGGGGCGUAUACCUAGGAGUGGAAUUUCCAGAUCACAGGGUAAUUCUAUGCUUAAUAUAUCGAGCCCACCAUAUUACCUUCCAUAGUGGGUGAACCACUUUACAUUCCCACCAGUUAUGGAUAAUAGAUAGAAUGUUUCCACGUCCUCACCAAUACAUGUUAUGUUUCUUUAAAAAUAUUAUUAUGACCGUAGCCAACGUUGUGGGUAUGAACUGAUAUCUUAUUGUGGUUUUUACUUGCAUUUCCCUAAUGGCUAGUGAUGCAGAACGUCAUUUCAGUGCUUCUUGGCCACUGUAUACUUUCUUUGAAGAAAUACCUACUCAGGUCCUUUUCCAAUUUGUAGACUGAUUAUCUCUUUUUGGUGUUGAGUUGCAAAAAUUCUUUAUAUAUUCUAGAUAGUAGACUUGUAUCAGGUAUAUGACUUACAAAUAUUUUCUCCCAUAUUGUAGGUUGUUUUUUCACAUUCUGGUGCACAAAAGUUUUUUGGUUUGUUAUUGUUUUUCUGGGUUUUUUGAGAUGGGGUCUCACUAUGGUCCUCACUAUGGUCUUGGACUACUGGACUCAAGUGAUCCUCCUUUCUGAGCUUCCCAAAUAGCUGGAACUACAGGAAUGCAUCACUGUGCCCAGCAAAAGUUUUUAAUUUUGGUAAGUCCAAUAUCUUUUUUCUUUUGUUGCUCAAAUCUGUUGGUGUCAUAUCAAAGAAUCCAUUGCCAAAUCCAGGUUCAUGAUGUUUUAAACCAGUGUUUUUUUCUAAAAGAUUUGCAUGGUAGGGGUCCAACUUCACUCUGUUUGCCUGUGAAUAUCCACUUGUCCCAGCACUGUUUGUUGAGGGGAUUCUUCUUUCCCCCAUUGAAAGGUCUUGGCAUCUUUGUUGAAAAUCAAUUAGUACAGGUGUAUGCAUUUAUUUCUGGUUUAUCUUAGUUCAACUCUAUUCCUUUGGUCUAUAUAUCUUUUAUGAGCACCACAAUAUCUUGAUUACUGUUAGUUUGUCAUUGGCUUCAAAAUUGCAAAGUGUGAAUCCUCCAACUUCAUUUUUCUGUUUCAAUAUUAUUUUGGUGGAUUAAUAUUCAACUCGUGUGUGUAAGUUUGCCUGUAUGUUACUGUGUUACUGGGGAUUGAACCAGGGCUUCAUGCAUGCUGGGCAAACACUCUACCACUGAGCUACACCCCUCGCCCUUUUUAUUGUUUAUUUUGAGACAGGGUCUUACUAAGUUGUCCAGGCUGGCCUCAAACUUGUGAUCCUCCUGUGUCAGCUUCCUGCAUGCACCACUGUGCCCAACUCAUUCAUUUUUUUUUUUAAUUCAAAAAAGUGUUUCUGUAAUUGUUGAUAUUCACCCAAGCCAAGGCAGAAGGUAUCUGCAAAAGGAUUCUUACAGGAAGAACCUAGAGAUCCGGAUUUGCUGGAUUUGCCACCAACUCUGUAGGUGUCCUUUGCAACCCACAUCCUCUCUCUGGGCCUCACUUUACUCUUCUGCCAAAUAGAGAAGAGGGAGCUCAAAUUUACGUUUAUGCUUGGAGUGGGACCUGAAACAUUUUAGUGAGCUCCCCUGUAAAAAUGCUUAGAAUGCCCAGCCUGAGGGUCCAGGCCACAGAGACGUGGCUGCCAGAGUUCCCCUCCCACAAGCCCCACACCUGGAGCUGCCUGGCUUCAGUGAAUCCCCCCGGUCAUCAGUAAAGGUGUUGUUCUAGCAAGAACUCAAUCGGCAGAGGGACGAGAAGUCUGGGCCUGGAGAAAUUCGGACAUUGGGUCAGCAGUAGUGUGUCCUCUGUCUGUCAUUGAUUUCUGCUUGACAUUUUCCAGCACUUGACAAAUGGAUUAAGAGCAGAGUCUCAUAUAUUGUGGGUACCCUGGGUGAUGCAAAGACUAAUUAGCUAUGCCCCCUGCCUUCUGGUAAUCAGUUUCACAUUUGAAUAAUAAUCAGGGGGAAUUUUAAUCAUCUUGAAAGUUAUUAUUUUUUUCAUUGUUUUGGGUAUUACUUUCAAUUUUUUUUUUUUUAAAUCACUACUGCACAUAUAAAUAGCCUUUCAGAAAAAGCAGAGCCCUGAACACAGAAGAUCAGCUACUUGCCUAGCUGGAUGCCACCUACCAUUCCAAACAACUUAGUGCAGUCUGUGUUGGUUGAACUGCAGUCAAGAUGCGUUGGUACCGUCUUAGCUUUCUUUACCUGACGGGCUUUCAUAGAACACACCGUCCUACGGGGAUGGCACCCACAUUCUAGACCAUGAGCUAGAACGUCUCCACCUCAAGUCUCCACCUGACUCUUGCCCCCAUUUCUACGCUGUCCUCCAGCUGAUGGGCUAAUGCUGGAGUGUGGGCAGGUCCUCUGCCACUGCUGCCAGAGAUGGUGGUAGUGAGAACAAGCGGGGGGUAUGGUCAGGUGAUGGAUGGCACUUGGCAGGGGACAGAGACACAAGAAGUAUCAAGAAUGACUCCCAGAUUUCUGGCCUGCAACACGGCUUAUUUGGUCCUAGUCAAUGAGCUCAGAAGCACAAAGUGGACCAGGUUUGGGUUGAAGAACAGGGCACCACGUUGUUCCACGGUCCCUAUAGAGUUGGGUACCAUGGGAACCCCAGAGAAGCUCAUGUGCUCAGUCUUAGAAAAGUCAUGCCCGAGGUGACUUUUCAGCUUCCAGAUGACGUCAGUAAGGAGACAGAGGGAGCCCAAAGCAGGGCAGGCCUGACCCAAGAAGCCCAGAGAGGCCGCUGGUGCUGGGGAGGGGGCCUCUGCUGCCAGGGUUUCUUCCAGAGACCCCGGAGAGGAGGGAAGGCCGGCCGAAGUGCUCCCCAGGAAGGCGGCUGAGCUGGGAGGGCUGGGGAAGGGCAGGGCGGCAGGAAUAAUUACCUGAGCUGGCAGCCAGCCCCAGCUGAGUGUGGCCCCAGGGAGCCGAGCGCAGAAAGAGCCGCGUCUUUAGUGCCGCAGGUGUUGGAGUAGAAAAUUUUCCAUGAAGAGGGGGCUGUUCCACAAGAUUAAAAUAGCCACUUGGGCCCUCCUGGCAAGCGCAGCGUCUCUCCACACCUCCAGCGUGUUCUUCAAGUGGAGGCUGUUCCUGUUCCGAGGAGGGAACCGGCAAAAAGAAUUCCUUCUCUUCUCACAUUUGCUAAUAAGGAAGGAGAGGGACAAAGGGCCCCAGGGGCAGCCGGGGAGGCAGGGCGUGGUGUUCUGCUGAAGACCUGGAGGGAGGCUGAGGAGGGGAACACCUGGGGUGCGGAGCCCAGGGUGCAGCGGGGAGCGCUGGAAAUGGAGUCGGGGCCUGGAGCCCUCCGGCUGAGUCCCCGUGCUGUCCCGUCCAGGCCCAGAGUUUUAGGGGUGAACUGGACAGAGCAAUGUGCUGGGAGGGAAGCUGGAGACUCCUCUGUAGUAAGAAGACAAAUUUCUCCCCCUGGGGAAUUGGAGGCCUUGUCCCUUCCAGGAAGAAGCCAGGACACAUGUCCCACUGCCUCUUACACUCCCCUCUUCCUGUCUGAGGGGCUGGGCUGGCUGGCAGCUUGGCCUCCCCUCUGUGCCAGGGUGGCUGGAGGACAGAGUAAGCCCUGCCUGCCACGCAGGUGGCACAUGAACUUCAGGACACGUUCAUGAGGAGAUGGUGACGUCUCUGGCCCUCAUUCAGCCAAGGUCUCCGGAGUUCUCAAACGUCCUCGUCCCCACCCCUUUCUUAGUUGCACUGGGUUUUCUUGGCUUCUUCAGCGGCACCAGGUAUUGCAUACCCCUCCUCCCUCUUUGCCACGGCAGGUCCCCUCAGCCGCUGGGAGUGAGUGUGGACAGCCACCCACUCCCCAGAGGCAGAAUGUGCAGGGACCCCUUGGUCUCUUCCGGCUGUUGCUAUUGGGACAUUACUAUUGCGGGGAAGAAGCUAACCGUGGCCUGUCUCUGCUUACCUAACUUUUUACAAAAUGCCCUCUGCCCAUGUUGGCAAGCGGCUCACCAUCAUGAAAGAUGCUGGGGACCCACCCCUGGUGAAAGCCACUCUCCCAGAUAGUCCCCUGAUAGGGGCAUCUGAGAGUCCUCCCCACUGUCUCAGCCCUCACUGACCCCCUCUCUGAACAACACUUCCCACAUAGGUCUUCUCCAAGGUGCGCAUUCCUGCAUCAGACUCCCCUGGGAAGCCUUUUGGGAAAGCAGAUUCCUGAGCCCAUUUUCCAUUCUGAAAAGUAUCUGCGCUUGCAGUGUCUCCCAGGGGAAUCUGGGGGAAUCUCUCCAGCUGUGUUAACUUCUUUAUACCCCACAGUUUGACACACAGUCGUCUCCACCACACAUUGCCUCCUGUCCCAGUGGGCAGAACAAUGGUGUUCAUGAUUCCUCACAUGUGGCAGGGCUCAGUCAGUGACUGUGAGGACGGCUACUAGCUGGUGUGUGUGUGUGUGUGUGUGUGUGUGUGUGUGUGUGUGAGAGAGAGAGAGAGAGAGAGAGAGAGAGAGGGGAUAGAUAAGAUAGGAUAAGAUAAUACAAGAAAGUAGGGUUAGUAGAACCCCAUUACAGUAGCUUUGCCUGCAGGUCUGGUGCUACCUCAUGGAACUGAAGUGUGGGAUGUAGAGAAAGUUCUUAGCAGACAGGAUCCUGGAUCUACAAAGCUGUUAAGAGCAAAGGCAGGAGGAGGACUCACGUCCAAGGGUAACAGGGUUCAGAUACACUACUUACUGACCAUAUGUGUUUGGGCAAAUUGCUUGAUCUUCAGGCCUGGCUUAACAGCACUUCCUCCCAGGAAGCAGUGGAGGUUGACUUGGAGGCUACAAGAGGCCUAAGUAUCUGUAAGCCUACUGUGUGCCCCAGGCUCGGCUUCCCUCCGUACCCUCCUCCUCCUCUCUCGCAGACUGGUUCCCGCUCCUGCCUGUAUAGAUUCAACCUAUAGCUACUUUACAUCUCCUCAGAGGUAGACACCCAAAACGGAGGUGCCACUCCCUUGGCCCGAGUCUCCAGAGACUCUGAGGGCCUUUCAGGGUCCUCCCCACCCAAAUCAUCCCUGGUUGAGAAUGAGGGGUGUAGUGUGCGAACAGGAUCCAGCUCCAUCACCUCAGCCCCAUCAGGAAGAGAGUUCUCAGAGAGGAGAGUGGAGGGUGGCCAGGGCUGGGUACACACCCCACAGGCCUCUGCUGUGACCCUCCUAAGCCUCCUCCUGGGUCCUCACCCAGGCUGCUGGUGUCUCCAGAGCCUUCUCUCAUCUUGCUGGGGGGCUUGAGUUCUUCAGCCUCAGGUCUGCCUGCCUCCCCCUGAAUCUGCCCCACUUGUACCCUCCGCUGGGCCUUGAUGCCUAAGCCCUGUGUCUAAAGGGCUUACAGUUAGUUGGCGGAAUCAAACACACACACACGCACACACACACACAAGUUGAAGUGUCCGGUGCUCCCCCACCAGCUGCAGCUCCCAGGGAGGAGGAGUCCGGAGGAGGAGGGCCCCACGUGGGCUGUGAGGCUCGGGAAAGCUUCCUGGAGGAGGAGGAACUAGGUCAGGGGCUCGAGGCUGUGCGAGGCUGUGCGGGUUGGGGGGACAUCCUGGCAGGCAUGGGAGGAAUGGGGAAGGCCUGCUGAGAAGCUGCCUGGCAGGGACACGGUCAGGAAGGAGUCAGAGCACAACAGGUGCUGCCAUCACAGGGGGCCUCCUCCUGGGGCUGGGGCUCCAGCAAGCCCUGGCCUCCCUGCUCAGGCGAGCUGCUGAAGGGCCUCCCCAGGACCUGACUGCUCAUUGAUCGGCCUGUGAAAGGCCACUUGGUGGGCUGGUUGCCGAGAGACGGCCCGAGGCCGGGGGCCAGGAUUAGUGAGUGGCCUGUUUGCUCUCCUUGCUGAGAGGAAGGAGGACUUUGGUCUCAGCUUAUCAAACUGCCCCAGGUUUGAAAGCCCAGGAAUGCAACCUUGGGCAAAUGGGCAGGUUCACAGGACACCCAUUAAUCAAACAGCUCCCUUCCCUCCAGCCUAACAACUUCUCUCUCUCUCUCUCUCUCUCUCUCUCUCUCUCUCUCUCUCUCUCUCUCUCUCUCUCUCUUAUGUGGUCUUUUGGAGCUCCCAGAAGAGAGGGGACAUAUAUUUCCUCAAGCCCAGCUGACCACCACCCCAGGCCCGGGAGGAACUACGCAGGAGAGCAGGCCAGCUCAGAUGACUUUCCCUAAUGGGCCCAUGAGGUCCUGUAGAGGCUUCCCUAAGGUGGACAGAGCCGUCAGGCCACCCCACCUGCCCUGUGCCCCACACAACUAGCAACACAUCAUCCCCUCAAGAUGGAAAGAAAAAUGUCCUCACCAAUAACUUCUAGAGAAAGCUUUCUUUAAAAUAUACAAUCCUUUCCAACUCCGUGGACUGCACAAGGGCAGUCCUUGUCACUGCUAGCACACACAGUCACGUGUCACAUGCCAAACGCACAGUUACGUGUCAGCCCAGAGGCCAAAGAUCCAGACUCCUCACCAGUGCUUGGCUCUAAGGGGAAAAGGAUGAGUCUUAGCAUGUCUCCCUGCCAACGAGAACAAGUUCAGAGGAAUAAGUUAAUAAUAAUAAUAAACAUAAACUGGGUCUUAAUAGUAGGUGUGACACCAACUACAAGUUCCACCUGGGGGCACAUAGUUUUCUGGUAUCGGGGUGGAGAAGGUUCCUGGCCUUCAGGAGAUCAUGUGGCUCUCAUUUGAGCCAACUGGCCAUGGCUGCUGCCUGGGUAGUGUCUACCUGCUGGCAGGAAGCUAGACGGGCAGGGGAAGAGAGAGUACCAAAUGCUCUGCUCUGCUCAGACUUCACCCAGAGUGUUGCCUUCCGUCCUGGGCACCACGCCUGAACUUUCCACCCGAUGCCAGCCUAGUCACAGAGGGUGAGCCCACCAACUGGGAAGGGCUUUCAAGCCAGGUCGGUGAGAUGUCUGGUCUGAGCGGACUUAGGAGUCACACCCUCUGGUCCAGAGAAGACAGAGGAAGUCCUCAGCCCUACCUACUGCCCUGCACCCCUGUGCCCUCUGCCUCAAUUUCGGCAUCCACCGCCUUCCCUGGGCAACCACAGAGGUGUCUCCAGAACUUUCUGGCCAAGCCCCUGACAGUUCCUGAAGUCCCUGCUCCUUCUCGUUGGCAGGUAGACAUGCUAACACUCAUAGGAUUUUGCACUUUCCCCUGGAAACUCUUCAGAUCUCUGCCACCCCUGCCCACCUCCUGCCAUAGCCCCAGAAUGAGACAGUGAGACCCGCAGGCCCUGCACAUCUUGUAGCAGUCUGCAACCCUCACAUCCCACAUUACCCACAGGGCAGGGUACCACACAGCACCCAGCCUCCCCACUUCCUGUCCCCUUCAUCUGGAUCUCCUUCAGCCUCCAGCUGCCAUCUGAAUGACCCCCUGCCCAUGACUCACUGUCCCCUCCCUGGGCCCAGCACCCUGCCUGAGGCCUGCUGCUGUUUUCCCCAUUAGCCUCCUUCUCUAGGCUAUCUGCUACUCACUGGGGUCCCCCCACAUCUGUCCCCAGCUCCUGGCACUAGCCUGGCACCCAUUGGUAUUUGUUGAAUGUACAGAUGCCAGCUGUUUUCAAAGGUGUGAAAGACUGUCAUGUGGAAUGAGGGUUAGUCCUGCCCUAAUCCUCUGAGUGACUCAGAGCUGGCAUUGGAAGCCAGAGACAGGAGUCAGGUGAGGUCCCUGGAGAGCAGGCCACUCCUGGAGGUGGCAAGUUCCCUGCACCUGAAUGGAAUAGGAAGACCCAUGGAAGAGGGCGGCAGCAGAGGGGUUCUCUUGGUGAUCUGACCUCCGUGGGCCGUCCAGCUCUAGGAGGCUAUGGGCUGGCUUCACUUUUGGACCCCCUCCCAUGAGCACAGCAGUCAUACUGCAGUCAGGGCUGCAGGGCUGGGCCUUGGAGUGCCAAGAGGCAGGACGUAUCCCAGCAGGGCUGACCCUAGCAAAGCAGGCCCGCUCUGUGCCUAUGGAAGACAAGGUGGGUGGAGUCUGACUGUCAGCCUGCGGUCCUCAGAGAGAGCUGGGCCUUCUCUAUCUGUACCCAGCAGGGUUGGCACACUCCUCACACCCUCCUGCUUGAGGGCUGAGCAUUGUGUUUCCCACCAAAGGACACUGGCCCAGAAGGCCAGGAGCCCAGCACUGAGAUGGGGACUUGGCAUCAGAGCUAACCCAGGUGCAGCGGGGAGGAGAGGUGACCUCUGCAGCCAGUGUGGCUCCUCGGCCUCAGCAAGGCCGUCCUCCCCACCAGCAAGGUCACAGUUAUCUGCCCCAGAGCGAGUGCUCUUGUAGGGCCUGGAUGCCCUCCAAACAUGUGGAGGGAGUUUCAACCUAAUCCAGGACUUUUAAAAGGUCUCCCACGCCUGACAUUUUCCAAGUGUUGUAAGCUCCAGGCAAGGACAAGAAAGAAAAGCACUUGGAAGUACUUCUACGGCUGCAGCUGCCAGUGUCACCUCAGAGUGUGUCAACGUGCAUGAAUCAGUGCGUGUGUCAGUGUAAGAAUGUGUCGGUGUGUACGUGUAUGCAUGCAUGUGUCCAUGUGUGUCUCCUGUGUGUGUGCAUCCCUGUGUAUGUCACUUACAUGUCAGUGUGAUGUCUGCGUGUGCCUCUGUGUGUCUGUGCAUGUGUGUGCAUGUGUGUGCAUAUUGGGAAGGGUGUGGAGAAGUCAUUUGCUUUGAUUGUGAGACCGAAAGAAGCACUUGGUUCAGAAUCUCUCUCCCAGGCUGGAAGGACAGCGGAAGAUGGUCCCGAACCUCGCUCUCUAACUGGUUGUUGGAUGUGGCCACCUGCAGUGAGGCCCCUUUGAAGUCUCUAUUCGCAAACCUUCUUCAUAUUCCACAGAAACUUUGCCCGCUUCCCUGGUUUUGCCAAAACUGUGGUCAUUUUCCUGCUUUGAGAGUUUAAUGUUUAUAGUCACAGGAAAGGGUGGGGAUUUUCAGUCAGCAGGUCCUGAAUCCCAGUUCCCCGGGGCCAGGUGUGAGACUCAGGUGAGCUCAUCUCAGUAAGCCUGUCUCCCGAGGCGGUGAUGUGCAGCGCUACCACGUGGGGCUGGACAAACACUGGGAGCUUUCUUGCAUGUUUUCACAGGUUUCCCCAUUUUGCAAAUCUGCUUUUCCAAUGUAUGAUUCAAAAACAAAACAAAAUAAAGCACAAAAAUUAUAUUCCCAGUCUCCUUUCCUGCAGGAUACAGGCACAUGUCUGACAUUGCCCCUGAGUGAUGACCCCAUAAGAGGUGGGAGCAGGCUGAGGGGGCAGGCUGAGGGGACAACCGUGGGCUGGCUGAGCAGCAGCAGAGGCAGGUGGGCUCAGACACAGCAGAGUUCCAACCCCCAGUCUCGUGGGACUCCUGACUGUUCCUACAAUGUCAUCCUGCACCCUGCCCGGUGGUGGGCUUGGCACUCUCUCACAUCCUUAGAUAAAUUCUUUCCUGCUUUAACUACCAGCUAAUGAAGAUUCUGCCCUCUGUAACUGAGAGCCCCCUAGUCCCAGAGAACCCACAUAGGUCGGCAUUUGGAGACAGGGACAGUUGUGAUUACAAAGGGUACAUGAAAUUAGAUCCACGAUUGUCUUGGAUGGUCCCUGAAUUUCCCGGGCUUCUCCUUUCCUCGUGUUGGCAAUCUUGCCUGAUGGAUGGAGCCCUGGCUCUCAGGCAGCUGAUGCAGGAUGGAGACCUGCCUGUCUCAUCUUCUCUCAGUGGGAAGAGAGUGGAGAAGUGGUGUUUUAGGGAGGCCAGCCCAAGGGCCCCCUUGUCUCUCUUUAAGAUCUCCCUUCAUAGCUAGCAAGUCCCCUACCCUGGGCCAGAGAUUGGGCUAGGCAGUUUAGGGGCUGCAAAAUAAAAGUUAGAACCCCAAUAUCUAGCCCUAAGGAGGUUGGUCUGACGGAGAGGCACCUCGACUGGUGAGAGAGAAGAAUGACCGAAAAAGUGGGCGUGAGGAGGAGGUGGCUUUGGCUGGGGUGGCCAGAGAGGCCUUCCCAAAGGGAUCCCAGCAGGGCCUGACCCUGGGUAGGCGAGAUUUGGGGGAAUGAAGAAUGCCGGGAAGGGAGCCCCAGGAAAACAAUGAGAACAAGUAAAGUGCCAGGUGGGAUCGGUGCCCCCCACUUUAUGGGGCAAAGAGAGAGAGCCCUCUGGAAUUGUCGGCUUCAGCCAGUUCCUGGGGCCCCGAGGCCUGGACGAGGAGCUUGGGUUUUAGUCCAGGAUGGAUAUAUGACUGGGUUCGACAGAGAGGACCUUGACCUCACCCCUCUGCCGCUCUCCUGACUUCCAGGGUCAGAAGCCUGGUGCCCGUGGGGAGGAGUAGCCCACUGCUUCAUGCCCUUCCUUCGUCUGGGCCACCAGAACUACAUUGGCAAAGGACACCCAAAACUGCCUGUUCCCCAAUACAAGGUUUUUAUCAAGUUUUUCAGGCUUUGUCUUGCUGGAGCUCCGGGGUUUAAUGCUAGAAUCUCUCCAUUCUUAAAACUCUCUCCGUGGCUUCUGCCCACUUCCCAGGAGGAGCUCAGACGAGCGGGCUCAUCCUCUGCCGAGUGUGACCUUAAGGGCCUCAGUUAGUGCAGCAAGGAGACUUAACACGGGACUCCGGACAUCGUAAGGUGGACAUUCCCAAGAAUCAAGUCAGCUUCCUGAUCGCCCACCUCCGACGUCUCCUCCCAGACUCUUCCCUCUCUGUGUUAAUGGCCACUAGCAUCCUCUCGUGAUCCAGGCCAGACACCUGGCAGGGAUCCUGUCCUCCCUGCCUCAGCCCCACACCCUGAGAGUCAUGGUCCCACAGCUCCACCUUGUCCCUCUCUGCCACUGCCCCCUCACGUUGCCCCGGCCCUCGCCAAGGCCCAGCACCCCCAGCUCUGCCAUGACCUCCUACCUGGGCGCUCAACCUCCCGCCACCCCUCCCUGCCUGGGCCGACUCUGCUAGGGAGAGCUCCCUAACGCACAGACCUGAUGAGCCGGGCCCUUCUGGACCUCCCUCAGUGUGUCCCCACCACUCACCAAGGCAGGUGAGAGGAACAGUCCGCUCUUCCCCAUCUUCCACCUCACACACCUGCCGCACCAUCGAGACCUGCGUGUGGGGCCCUAAGAGCGUCCUGUUGUUUCUGCCCAGGGCCCUUAUCUGGGCCGUGGCCUCUGCCUGGAAUGUGCUUCCCACCCUCAUUGGCCUACAGGACACCCAUCCACCCUUCAAGAACACCACAGGGGAUAUCGCCUGACCCCAGACUGGACUAGGUGCGUCUGCUCUGUGGCCCUACGUACCCGAUACCCCAUAUAAAAACACCACUGUGGUCUGUACUAUCUGAUUACAGCCACGCCCUCCCACUAGCUGAGCUGAUUUGGGACCUGGGACUGUGUGUUAUACAACUUUUGGGGACCCUGUCCCCGAGUUUCAUGCCUGGCACAAGUGGGUACUGAAUACAAUUUUGUCAGUGGCAGCCAAACUAAACGGCAGGAUGCUUUGGAAGGAGGUUGGCCAGUGAGCAAGGGGACACACCAAGGUAUAGAUGACCAAGUUCAACCAAGAGAAUUCUCCUUCCCCUGAGGAAGUCUUCUGAAACCAGGAGGUAUCCCUGAUUCAGCAGGGACAGGCAGACAGGACCCCCACUCACACUCCCUGGGGAGCUUCUCGCCAAGGACCUCGUGCUCCAAGGAGGUGUCAAACCAGAGGUCAGAAUGGCCAGGUCAGUGGAGAAAGGCAGGAGGUGUGGGGGCCCUUGGGCGGCAGGACUUCCCACCUAUUAGAUAAACAGGGGACACAGCCACAAGCUGUGGGAGAGGAAACAGGCAGAUCCAGAGAGGGACACCAUGGGGCUACAGGCUCCUGUCUCCUCAGCAAGCUGGUGCUGAGGGAGCCUGAGGGCUGCAACACCCAGGUGCAGUGCGUGGUCCACAUCAGACUCUGGAGUCAGGACCUCUGGAGAGAUGUGAAUGCAAAGUGAUGUUAGGGUUUACCAAGAAGUUACUAGUCAUAAUUUGAUACUAUAAUGUUAUUUUAACUAUGUAGGAAAAUAAUCUUAUUUUUUAGAGACACAUUCAGAAAUAUUUAGGGAUAACAUAUUAUGGGACCUGUACCUCAGUUUAAAAUAUCUCAGUGUAAAAUAUAUAAUGAGUUUAAGGGCCAAUGCUACUGUGAGAAACUGUAAGUUAGACACACUGUGAAUUUACAGCAAUUAUCCUAGGAAAAUUUCAACGGUUGAGCUUGUGCUGAUGAUUGAACAGAUUCCCGUUGUGAUGUCUGUGUUCUGUGUUCAGGUCGAAUCGUCGAUAGCUUGUCAUAUGAAGAGCUGUCAGGUGUGAGUGAAGUCUGCAUGUCCAGUCCUGAUGGUUUCCAUGAUGAGGGAGACCUUGGCUGUCUGGGACCUCGUGUGCAGUUAAGGAGCGUCUUGAGAGUUAGCCAAGGAAGGGGUCCUCAUGCCUGAGAAGUGACGCAGCACUGAAUGAAGCAGGGCUUGGUGUGGCAAGGACCAAAGGUGCAGCGUGCCCGCUUCCUUGAAGGGCAACUCAGGAACAGAACCAGAAUCUGGGCUGGUUAGAAAUGCAAGAGUCCAAACCAGCCGCUAGAGCAGCUCAUGGGGAUGCGAAACGGGCUCCACACAGAAAUCUGGCUGCUGCCUGUCUGCUGUGGCCUCCCCUCCCCAGGGCCUACGACACUGUGCAGUUAGGAUCACAGUUGUAAAAACAACCCUGCGACCGUGCUGGUGUGCUGGAGCCAGGGUGUGCAAGUGUGCAAGCGUGUGUGCCAGGAUAUCUGGCCCACAGCCGAGCAGGGCUGGCGAAAACUGAGAGCUGACCGUCCAAGGCCCCUACCGUGAGGCAGAGAGGACCGGUGAGAGGCAGACCCACGCGGGAAUUGAUCCUUAGGGAAAAUGGCAUUAUAUAUCUCUCUGUGUGUGGAGGUACCACCACGUUCCUCUUUACUGUGUAUAAAAAAAGUCGUGUCUUUGUUCAAAUAGCAUUUUUAAGGUUUUUAUUGGUGCAUUACGAUUAUACAAAAUAGUGGGGUUCGUCGUUAUAUAUUCCUACAUGCACACAAUGAUAACACUAUAGUUUGCUCCACUUCUUUCCCCACUAACUCUUGUCCCUCCCUCUGGUCCCCUUCCUCUACUCUACUGGAUUCCCUUCUAUUUUCAUGAGAUCCCACAUACACAGUUUUCUCCCCCUUUUCUUCACUCUACCUUCCACAUAAGAGAGAAAACAUAUGGUCCUUGACUAUCUGUGUUUGGCUUGUUUCAUUUAACAUAAUGCUCUCAAGUUCCAUCUGUUUUCCUGUAAAUGUUAGUUUCAUUCUUCUUUAUGGCUGAAUGAAGCUCCAUUGUGUAUAUAGACCACAUUUUCUUUAUCUGUUCAUCCACUGAUGGACCCGUAGGCUGGUUCCCUAAUUUGGCUACUGUGAAUUUUGCUGUUAUAAGUAGUGGUGUGCAUGUAGUGCUUUAGUAUGUUGACUUAAGUUCUGUGGGAUAAAUAUGGAGGAGUUGUACAGACUGUCCCAUUUCAAGUCUUUUGAGGAAUCUCCAUAAGGAUUUCCAUAGUGGUUGUACUAAUUUACAAUCCCACCAAUAAAAGUGUUCCUUUCCCCCACAUCUUUUCCCACGUUUAUUAUUAUUUGUAUUCUUGCCAACUGCCAUUCUAACUGGGGUGAGAUAAAAUCUCAGUGAGUUUUGAUUUCCAUCUUCCUAAUUGCUACAGAUGUUGAUCAGCUUUUAAUAGAUUUGUUGGCCAUUUGCAUUUCUUCUUUUGAGAAGUGUCUGUUAGUUCAUUUGCCAUUUAUUGGUGGGGUUCUUUGUAGGGCUUUUUUGGGGUUAAGUUUUUGAGUUCUUUAUAUAUUCUGGGUAUUACUCCUUUGUCAGAGAACAGAUGGCAAAGGUUUUCUCCCAUUCUGUAGAUUCCACUUUCUCUUCUUGCUCUUGUUUCUUUUGCUGUUCAGAAGCUUUUUAACUUGAUGCCAUUCCACUUAUUAAUUCUUGGCAUUAUUUCCCAAGCUGUAGGAGCCCCAUUGAAGAAGACUGUACCUGUACCUAUAAGAUGAGUGUUGACCCUACAUUUUUUUCUAGCAGUUGCAAAAUUUUGGGUCUAAUUCCUAGGUCUUUGACCAUUUUGAAUUGGCUUUGGUGCAGGGUAAGACAUAGGACUCUUGUUAAAUUCUUCUACAUAUGAAGAACCAGCUGUCUCAGUGCCAUUUGGUGAAAAUGCUGUCUUUUCUCCAGUGUAUCCUUUUGGUACGUCUGUCAAGGAGGAAAUGAUGGUAUCUGUGAGGCUUUGUUUCUGUAUCUUCUAUUCUCUAACAUUGGUCUGUUUUUUUGUUUGUUUGUUUGUUUGUUUAUGCCAGUACCAUACAGGGGUUUUGUUUUGUUUUGUUUUUACUAUAGCUCUGUAGUAUCAUUGGAAGUCAGGAAUUGUGAUGAUUCUAGCAUUGUUUGUGUGGUUGGUUGGUUGGCUUUUUUGCCUUAAAAUUUCUUUGGCUAUUCUGGGAAUUUUACUCUUCCAAAUGAAUUUUAGGACUAUUUUUCCUAGUUCUAUGAAGAAUGUCAUCAUUAUUUUAAUGGGGAUUAAAUUGAAUCUAUAGACUGCUUUGGUAGUAUGGCCAUUUUAACAACAUUACUUCUGCCUGUCCAUGAACAUGGGAAGUCUUUCCAGCUUUUAGUGACUUCUUCCCUGUCUUUCUUCAAUGUUCAAUUUUUGCUGUAGAGGUCUUUCUCUUCCUCAAUUAGAUUUAUUUCUAGCUCUUUUUUGUUUAUUUAUUUUGAAUGCUAUUGUGAAUGGAAUUGUUUUCCUGAUUUCUUUUUUUGGCAAAUUUAUUAUUGGUGUGUAGGAAAGUUAUAAAUUUUUGUAUGUUGAUUUUGUAACCUGAUACUUUGCUGAAUUUGCUUAUUAGCUCUUCCAGUCUUCUGGUGGAACUUUUUGGAUCUUGCAAGUAUAAGAUCAUAUCAGUUGCAAAAGGCAAUAAUUUGAUUUUUUUCUUUUCUAUUUGUAUCCCUUUUAUUUCUUCCUCUUGCCUAAUUCCUCUGUCUAGAACUUCAAAUACUCUAUUGAAUAAGAGUGGUAAGAAUAGACAUCAUAUCUUGUUACUGACUCUAGAGAAAAUGCUUUCUGUUUCUCCCCAUUCACUAUGGUAUUGGUUUUGAACGUGUUGUACAUUGUCUACAUUAUGUUGAGGUAGCUUCCUUCUAUUUCUAGCUUCUUUAGUGUUUUUAUCAUGGAUGGAUGCUUUUGCCAAAGGCUUUCUCUGCAUCUAUUGAGAUGACCAUGUGAUUUUUUUUUUGCCUUAAUUCUAUUUAGGUGGCAAAUUAAAUUUAUUGAUUUGCGUAUAUUGAACUAUAAAUUUUUUAUUUCAGAAACUAUAUACCAGGGUUUAAAUUAUCAAACAUUGUGAAUAUUAUAAAGGUUUUAUUUUCAAAGAAUGUCAUUUAUCAAACUAUUAAUGCUGCAAAUGUCUCCAGAGCUAACAAAUACCACACAACUGGAGCUGAUUGUAUAGAAUAGACCAAACAAGCUUAUUUCCAGUGUAAACCAAAGCUUAAAAAAAAUGGGAGGGUGGGGCUGAGGGUGUAGCCCAGUGGUAGAACACUUGGCUAGUAUGUACAGGGCCCUGGGUUAGGUCCCCAGCACCACAAAAGAAAUUAAUUUCAUAUAUUUCGAAAAGCCAGCAAUGCUUGGGUCCAAAGGAAACCAGGGAAUGCAUGAAGAAAUAUUCCUCCUCAUCAUGAAAAAUCACUAAUGAUUAUUCAAGCCCUUAAUUAGAGUAUUUAGUUAACAUUCAAAAGAGCCCAAGAAAAGACAUAUUUGAAACCCAAUUUCCCGGUUCCCGGGAGGACAUAAUUAUAUUGCACAAAAUGGCUGUCAGGCUUCCCACUACUGGAAGGAAGGGGCAGUUCUGAGAAGCAAUAUGAGUGGGCUGGCACCUAUGUGUACCCCGCAAAGUCUGUCCCUUCUUCAUAGCAUCCUUUCAGAUAUCCCAAGUUCAGGGUCAGAUCUCCUGUGAAUCUCCCAAAAUUCUCCAUUCAUUUGUCACCCAACCUGGCUGGCUGUCCCCUCCCUAUCCUGAUAAUUAUCCAACAGAAAUAUCACUCAGGGAAGGGUGGCAAUGGAGGCUUUAUGUGGUCACUUAGCAAAUUUAGAGUUUUUCAACAUGAGGACUAUUUUCCUGUAGCCCCAGCUGGGGACAGGCGCUAGUCUCUAGAUGUCCGUAUCACCAGGGAACACCUCUCAAGUGACUGACAUGAGUCCUGGUAGAAAAGCAACAGUGAUGGGACAACAUGGACCGUUCAAAUGUCCACAGUGGAAGGGCUCCUGGAGAACAAUUUGUCCCAACCUUCUCUUACCAUCGGGAGGAAACAUGAGGGCCAGACACAGGAGAAGGUCAGCCAUGUAUGGAACGUAACUGAGAUGGAGCUAGGAGCUCUUCUGAUUCCCAGUCCUCUGGCUCCAAUCACAUCAGAGCCUUGACUUUUCACAAAACAAUCUGAAUCUAACAGUCAAUCUGGAUCCCCCGAGAUCCUUGUCCCUGCUGCACCUUCCUGGGACGAACAGCUUUUGUACGCCUGCUUCCUGUCUGUUAAAUGAAGAUAAUGAUGAUUUCCCAGGGUUGUGGCAAUGGUCUUAAAGGGAACAUUAGAUGUAUUCUCACACUGCACGUCAUCAAUGAGGAGUGAGUGGGUAUCAUCAACUCAUCAUCAUCAUCAUCGUCAUCUCUGUCAUUAAGAGACUCAAGGUCACAGAGCAACAGCUUCAUCAAUGUAUUAAACAACUGAGCACCUCCCAGACAAAUCUUGAGGGUUAAAGGCCUGUCUGUCUGCUCUCCUUCAGGGAUUCCAGUCAUGUAUAUCUGAGGCCACACAGUGUCUCACAAUGUCUCACGACUCACCCUUGUUCUGUUUGGUCUUGGGGAUUUUUUUUCUUUUUUGCAUCUCAUUUUGGAUGGCUUCUAUUGCUCUUUCUUCAAGUUCACUAAUAUUUUCUUCUGCAACAUCUAAACUGCUAUUACUCUUGUGCAGUCUAGUUUUUAUCUCAGAUAUUUCCUGUUGACUUAUUUUUCUGUCUUCUUGAACGUAUAGAAAAUACCUACAACAGUUCGAGUGUCCUUGUCUACCCAUUCUGCCAUCUGUUUGAUUUCUGGAUCUGUUCUUGUGGAUUGACAGUUUUCUUCUCUGUGGGCUCCGCCUCCCUGCUUCUCCACAUGGUCGGCGCAGCUAUUACAUGGCUGAAAGACACUGUGAAUUUUACCCUCUUGGGUGCUGGAUAUUUUUAUAUGUUUUUCAAAUGUUCUUGAGUUUUUAUUCUGGACAUUGGUUAAGUCAUUUGAAAGCAGUUUAUUUUUUCCAAGGCUUACAUGGGGUUCCUUAGUUGAGAUCAGAGCAAGCUCAAGUCCUGGCUAAUUAGACCUAUUGCUACUACGAAGACCAUAACUUUCUUAUACUCUAGGCGAUGUCCCAUGUCUUACAGGAUUUCCCCUCUGGCUGGUGGGAACAGAUAUUCCUGAUAUAUAUUCCUGAUCUGUGUGAGCUCUGAGGAUUAUUAUGCCCAGUGCUUCAAGGGAUUCUAGCAGUUUCUUUGUGCAAAUGCGGCUCUCGUUUUCUGUAGACACUGAGGAAGGAGAGCCUCUGCAGGUCUCCAGCCCUCUCUGCAGCUGUCCCUCAGACUCUGCCUUGGAAGCCUGAGAUUCCCAGGCCACCUCCCCCUCACAAGGGGUCCACCAGCCUCCACCUGGGCUGAGCCCCACUGCUAAAGCUGGGAGAUCCCCCACCACCCCAGCAAUAAGCAGGAGAGCACCCAUCUUUUCUCCUGGACACCUAUGCUGGCUGCCUGCUGCUCUGGUCUGAAAAGCACUGUACAUAUACAUUGUGUCCUGGUUUUCAGUUGUUUAAGGUGGGGGUGAACGUGGUCCGUGUUGCUCCAACAUGGCUUAAACUUGAAGUCAGUCCUGCUUAGACUUUUAGAGCUGAGCUGUUCUUCCUCACUAGGUUAGGAUCUCAGAGGACCAGGGAUCCAGUAGUUACUGGAUGCUGGGGGCAUCUUUUGAGCCCUGAUUAGGGCUAGUCCACCAGACUUGGCCAUGUGAGAAAGGAACCAAGUCUCUUGGCACAGGCCAGUGGGGGUCAGGGGUUUCUAACAUGUAUCUUAAGUGAUCCACCUUAAUAAUUUAAAAUGCACAGGAACAACCUCAUGUGCUUGCAGAACUGGGGCAAAGGUCACAGAAAACAAUCUGUUGUAAAAAGCUGUCCCCACUCCUUCAGGCCUGUAUACUGUAGGUACUGAGGAAAUGCGUCUCGGUCCUGUCCUCAGAUAACUGCUUCUUGAUCCAGCCUUCAGAGCUGAUCCAUUCUCUCUCCCGCCAUCCCUCAAGUUCCCCUUUCUUUCCAGCAGGUAGCUGGUCUGGUCCUGGGGCCCUCUGAGCAGAACCAGGCUUUACAGUUAAUAUCCCGCAGCCUCUGAUUGCAGCUUUCAGAGGUGUAACAUUUGAUAAGCUCCAUUUAGCUUGGCGGGGCUGCAUUGUUUAAAUUAUUCAAAGACAGAUUGCUCGCUCCACCCCCCCCUCCAGGGUUUCUGCUCUGCUGAGCCUGCCGGCAGCACGUUACCAGGAAAUAAGGCGGGGAGUCAGCAGGCAGUUUCUCACUGCCCUGAAAUCAGUUCCAGCCGUUGUUCUACACCCAUCACACCCCAUUAUUCCUUGCUAAUUGCAAGCCUGGUAUGCAAGUUAACUCUUUGAGAACAAUGCUGGCUUUGAUUGCUGGGGAGACACAGUGAGCCUCCCACCUCCUCCUGCCUCCCCUCCCCCUCUGUCCCCAGCUGACUGACUGUCUGGGAUUCAGCAAGUCAAGGGGUGGGAAGAAAUCUGAAAAUCUGAGGUAGAGCUGGUUCCCCAGGCAUUCCGAUUGGGCAGGUGGAUACAGCCAGUUGGGUCCCAGCCUAAGGCUGGAGCAGCCUCAUCUCUAACUGGUGUUGGACAACCCAGUCUUGCUAUUGUGUCCAGCCAUCCGCAUGGCACCUAGAGGGUGUGCAGGCUGGGCCCUGGCUCAGAACAAGCCAUCACCUCCUGGUCCAGGGAGCCCUCGCCACUGCCCUUGGACGUGGCCUCACUCCUUCUGCACCUGAGCUGUUUGCUCCCUACACACGGAAUGAUUGUCACGGUCAUCUGGCAGUGGUCACGAAGAACUAUUCUUCCAGGGAUCCUUUUCAUCAUCGACUUAGAACAAAUAAGAAUAAUUCUAAGAGUUGGUUGGCCAUCAAAGCCUAAAAUAUGUGCUCUCUGGUCUUUUACAGGAAAAAGGCUGCUGGCCCCUCCCCUAGAAUCUGAAUUAAGAGACGGAGGCAACUCGGUGUCUGGACCUUGAAGACAAUGUGUGAGCCUGUCUUGGCCUGGAUCCUAGACCAGAAGAAGACAUGGCUGGAACUGCACUGAAGGGGACCUGCAGAUGGGACAGUAGAGUCACCGUGUCACUUCCUUGAUUCUCAUCAUUGCACUGUGGUUCUGCAAGGGAGACAUAUGGGGAAUUGUACUAUUUUUGCAACUUUUUUGAAAGCCUGAAAUUGUUUUGAAAAAAACAGAUACAUUUGGGGGAGGAAAAAAAAAAAAACAUGGGGCAGGCGUAGUGGCUCAUGCCUGUAAUCCCAGCAACUCAGAAGGCUGAGGCAGGAGGAUGACAAAUUUGAGGCCAGCCUUGGCUACUUAGUGAGACCCUUUCUCAAAAUAAAAGGGGCUGUGGAUGUAGCUCAGUGGAAGAAUGCCCCUGGGGAGGGCCUGGGGAGGGUGGCUUUUAGGUGGGGUGGAAUUGGGAAAGGAGCACUUAGACAGAUGGUCACUUCCCCAGAGGGCCUGAGGGUGAGCUGGGGAUGCAUGCAGCAGUCCAAAGAAUGCAGGCUUUGGCAAGGACGUGGAGUGAACAAGGACGGGGUGGCUGUGCGGUAGAAGGUUAGUCUCCAGGGGCUGCCUACCAUAAAGCCUAAAGCCUCAGUGAACUCACUAACCUCAUGAAAUAAGUGCCAAUAGAUUUCCUGUGUAGGAAGCGAAGGGUCCAAAGUCAGGCUAACUGGCAGGAGGGCAAACAGUGGACCCACCUGGAUGCAGGAGCAGAUAAGGACCCUAAGGAAGUAAGGCUGGCCCUUUUCAGGGUGGCCCAGGCUGAGCCACAAGACCAGAGCCAAGUUCACCUAAAUUGCCACAGGCCAGAGGCCCCAAGAGUGAGUUGCCCUCUCAGGGGUGACCCCUGUCUACUCCCUUGCCCCCAGCCUGAUGACCAACAGGGUCUCUGAUGCUGGCCCCUCCAAGCCCAGCAGUGCCAUGGUCACACUGCCACUCCUGUGCUUGGGCUUUUACCAACCUCAGGGCUGCUAACCAGAGCUGGGAGGGCCACUGGCUGGGCAGUAAGCAGCAUGCUCCAUGAGUAGACUGGGCACAUUAGUAACUAAGAAGAGCAGAAAGCUCCUGCCGCAGCAGAAGUACCUUUAAGCAAGAGAAGUUGCGAGGAGGCCCGAGGAUCCUUCUCAGGAAAAUGGUGCAGUCAGAGAGGACAGCCAUGAGCACGCUCCAGAGGGCCUGACUGGCCAGGGGCCAUCCGUGUGGGAUGGCAGGAAGGCCUCUGCCCAGUUCCCAUGGUCACUCCCAGCCCAGGACUCAGUGCAGCAGGGACACCAGGCAGACCAGGCGGCCAGCGGGAACAGAGUCCCUUGCUGCUUGACCAAACCUGCCUGUGACUACCCAUCUGUCUAGAGAUUCCACAGGACCUUCUCUCCUCGUCUUCACCCAGGUCAAACUUGUUUUGCUGACUGGCUUCUAGCCUCCCCAGCCCUCCCCAUUUUCUCUCACACAGGCAUGACCAUGACGCACAUUAUCAGCACAUCUCAAACACGCAGAGGAAAUUCCUUACUUUAAUUCCAUCCGGGUCUCUGCUAUUUAGAGUGAUCUCCCCUGGAGUGACUCGCCCAGUUCUGCUCUACUCUAAGGUUCCUCUAAGAUAACCAAUCCCCUGCCCCACGGUCUCCCAGAAGGAGGGGACAGGAUAUGCAGCAAGGCCUUUUAAUUUUCCAUAAUUUUAAUAUGUUUCUUUUUAUUAAAAUUAAAUCUUUUUAUAGCUUUAUUUUAUUCAUUUAUUUUAUGUGGUGCUGAGGUUUGAACCCAGGGCCUCACAGAUGCUAGGCAAGUGCUCUACCACUGAACCACAACCCAGCCCAAUAUGUGUGUUUAAAAUCUAAAAUAUAGGGGCUGGGAUGUGGCUCAAGCGGUAGCGCGCUCACCUGGCAUGCGUGGGGCCCGGGUUCAAUCCUCAGCACCACAUGCAAACACAGAUGUUGUGUCCGCCAAAAACUGAAAAAUAAAUAUUAAAAAAUUCUCUCUCUCAAAAAAAAAAAUUAAAAUCUAAAAUGUCUAAUUCCUGGAAUAUAACCUUUACUUUGACUGUAAGGUGGUCAAACACCCACUGUAGAGGGAAAAAAACCAUCCUACAGUUGAUUUCUGAUUUAAAUUUCCUACCAGCUGAGGUGGUAAUCACUUCUGAACUAUUUAGUGGCCAUGUCUUUAAAGGUCGUAUUGGACAGUUGCUGGAGGUCAUAUGUAAGGAAAAGCAUCCUCCUCCUCCUCCUGCCCAAAACAUAGAUGCAUAAACCUCAGAAUCAGGAUUCAUGAGAAGCCAGAAAUCAUGGUGGGACACUAACAGGUUGAGUCAACGUCCAUCUCAGUAAGUUGCACGAGGCCUCAGUGUGCAGAUGUCAAAGACAUACAGUUUGCAGACUGGCUUUACUUACGUCCACAAAAUAAGUGUAUGCAGGGUGAGUCUGUUCAUGACUCGGGGAGCUGCUUCAGAAACAGCAUGACUGACAUGGAAAGGGGAAUGAUGGGAAGAGGAACUGAGAAAUGGGAGAAAGGAAGAUCAGAGAGGAGUCCGCCCUGGGUUCUGUGAGCUGGUCCACUUCCAGGACUGGCAUCUGGGUCCUGGCAGGACUAUUGACUCCUUAAUGAGAGAGCCCCUCAAGGAUCAAUUUCCAGACAAAACUGUCCCAGAUGCCCCCAUGUCACCCAGAUGGGUGGAAGCCAUCAACCCACAGGGAGAAUCUUGCUCUCUGAUGAGAGAAACGCUUGGAAAACUAUCCACCCCAAGGGUGUGAGAGACACCAGAGGGAGGCAGUGUGAAGUGUGGUGUGGGUCCUGCCCAGGAUUGGUUCCCAGAGAGGACACUGGCAUGGGGCUCAGCUGUCCCCUCGCUGAGUGCCCAGCGGCUCUCUAAGAGCAGCCAAGGACGUGGAGAGCCAGGGCAGCUCGGGAGCCUGGGAGCGGGUGGACCCUGCCUGGUGCCUUGAGUUAGGAAACCAGGUCAGAGAGCUUCCAAGCUACUAGGUGAAGAGCUGGCAUUAGAAGGCGUCUGCAGGCACCACGCGGGUGUCCUGACACCUGUCCCUCGGCGCCCAUCGAGAAGGCCUUUCUGGCUCCUGGCCUCAGCGGCUCUGGCAGCCCUCAUUUCCUCUGCUGGGUUUGGGGCUUAAAGCUGCCCAAGUGAGGAGCUCAGAUCUGCCUUUGCGUGAAGCAGCUCUUUAAAUGCAUUUUUCAGCACGACUCCCUGCAAGACAUAGACGUUCAACUGCACGUGUGCGCGCGCGCGCACACACACACACACACACACACACACACACACACACACGGUCCGGGCUUCACAAACAGCGCUCGCUCUGACGGCUCUCCAGGCACUCUGCCGUUCUCUCCCACUGUCUCCUCUUUCCCUUUCUCCAUCAUGGUUAAAAACAAAAACGCUGCUUGGGAUUGGAUGAGCACUGGCUGAAAGGAGCGUCACCACUCUGGGGGUCCAAGGGGCCCUCUGAGAAGGUGGCAGGUCCCUGCACAUGGUCAUCAUCCCACCUUUCUGAGGAGGCUGGAAUUGUGUCCCAAGGAGGUCCCCACGGUUCCCCUGGGUCAUACCACUGCACCAAAACGUCAUGCUCAGACACCCGCGCGGUGUCACAGUCAGGGUGACUCUCAUGGGCUUACACUGAAUGCCUCGCUAGGAAACCCCAAGAGCUACAUGGCCAAAGAGUGAGUGCUAUUCCUACUUCGUUAACUGCUAGGAAAAGUAAAGCUUGAACUAUGUAGGUGACUUGUCCAAGGCCAACUGCAGCUGGCAGGGUCAGAGCAAGGAGCCCAGGGUCUCAUGAUGCUCUAUGUACCGUGCCCCGCCCUUCCACAAGGCUGAUGGAAGCCCUUGCCGUCUCCACCUUUGGAAGUCUCAUCUGGUCCCCAAGCUCUGGACCAACAAGGUCCUGAAUACGGGAAAUUUCUUUUUUUAAAAAAUAUUUUUAUUUUUUAGUUGGAGUUGGACACAAUACUUUUAGUUUAUUUAUUUUUAUGUGGUGCUGAGGAUCGAACCCAGGGCCUCACACUUCCUAGGCGAGUGUUCUACCCCAGCCCCUACGAGAAGUUUCUAACAGUCAUCUUACAUCAAAUCAUCCAGCUGGAUGCCCCUGUGACAUGAGCUUCGACCAGAGUUGGCUUCCACGAAGUUCAUGAGCCAGUGUUCAAGAUUUAGAGAAAACAGUGGACUGCUCAAGACAUACUAGGAACAUCCACGGUGCCCGCCACUCUGCCGGGGGAUUCUCCUAGGCUGCUGUGGCCAGGACUGGUUGCAAAGCCCUCCAACACACUUGACCGAAGACAAGUUUAAUGUCUUGGAGUUUAAUGUUUUUAUUAGUUGUGUUUGUGGCUUCUUCAAAAUACUGUGUAGCUGCUGGCACCACCCCAGCCCCACUGCAAGAACCUCCUCCCCAGCCUCCACUCACCAGCAAGCUGCACCCCGCACCCAGGGAUUGCCCCCCACCCCGCCCUCAUCCAUCAAACAGGCCGCUGUCUGCAGACGUUCCGGGAUUUGUUGUAUUUGGGAUUAAGGGGGGGCGGGUAAAAUUAAUAAGGUUUCUAUAAAUAUAACUUCUCUGGCUCUUGUUAAAACUCUGGGUCACAGGAAAUCUCUGGUUUCAAACGGCUCUAUGCAGAGUGGCCCUGUUUACUUGAAACGUCUCGCCAAGAUCUAGCUUUGCCCCAUUAAUACUAAAUAAAUAAUUUCCACAGAAGCUAUUUUUUGGUCCUCUUUGCCAAAAAAUUUGAGAAAAGGGGCCAGCACAGAAGCCUCACAUGCGUGUUUCAUAUAAAAACCACAGGAUCAGUGGGGACCUUAGUUGUGUAAACUGUUUCAGGACAGAUGAGACUCAGCUGGUGACCCAAGUCAAGCAGAGCACCCAUGGGGCGCUGGUCCCAGCUCCCACCCGAGAGCAGAUCCAUGAGCUUCACACCCGUCCACUCUUCCUAUGUAAGCCACUCUCUCAGAGGGUCCAAGGAAUGUAGAUAGGCACCUGAGGAGUAAAUGGCUUGUGAUCUAGUAGGGUUGCUAAAUUGGCAUAUAAAAUACAAGAUGCCCAAAAGGAACUGAAUAGACACUUCACAGAAGAAGAAAUACAACUGAUCAACUGAUAUAUGAAAAAGUGUUCAACAUUUCUAGCAAUUAGAGAAAUGCAAAUCAAAACUACACUGAGAUUCCAUCUUCAAUUACAAUGUCAAUCAUCAGGAAUACAAGCAACAAUAAAUGUUGGUGAGGUUGUGGGGGAAUAGGUGCAUUCAUGCUUUGCUGGUAGGACUGCAAAUUGAUGCAACACUCUGGAAAGCAGUGUGGAGAGUCCUCAGGAAACUUGGAAUGGAACCACCAUUGGACUCAGUCAUCCCACUCCUAAGUUUAUUCCGCAAAGACUUAAAAUCAGCAUACUACACUGAUGCAGCCGUAUCAAUGUUUAUAGCAGCUCAAUUCACAAUAGCUCAACUAUGGAACCAACCUGUGUGCCCUUCAACAGAUGAAGGGAUAAAAAAUGUGGUAUAUAUACACAAUGGAAUAUUACUCAACUUAAAAAAGAAUGAAAUUGUGGUAUUUGCUGGUAAAUGGAUGAAACUGGAGAAUAUUA
rnacentral:lncRNA from 1 species